GAAUUUUGGCCAAUGGGCGAAAGCCUGAUCCAGCAAUGCCGCGUGCAGGAUGAAGGCCUUCGGGUUGUAAACUGCUUUUGUACGGAACGAAAAGCUUUUGGUUAAUACCCUGGAGUCAUGACGGUACCGUAAGAAUAAGCACCGGCUAACUCUGUUCCAGCAGCCGCGGUAAUACGUAUGGUGCAAGCGUGAAUCGGAAUUACGGGGCGUAAAGCGGGCGCAGGCGGUUUUGUAAGAGAGAGGGGAAAGCCCCGGGCUCAACCAGGGAACUGCCUUGGUGACGGCAAGGCUAGAGUACGGCAGAGGGGGGUGGAAUUCAGCGUGUAGCAGUGAAAGGCGUAGAUAUGCGGAGGAACACCGAUGGCGAAGGCAACCCCCUGGGCCUGUACUGACGCUCAUGCACGAAAGCGUGGGGAGCAAA
rnacentral:rRNA from 1 species